CCUACGGGAGACAGCAGUGAGGAAUAUUGGUCAAUGGACGAGAGUCUGAACCAGCCAAGUAGCGUGAAGGAUGACUGCCCUAUGGGUUGUAUACUUCUUUUAUAAAGGAAUAAAACGAGGCACGUGUGCCUUUUUGCAUGUACUUUAUGAAUAAGGAUCGGCUAACUCCGUGCCAGCAGCCGCGGUAAUACGGAGGAUCCGAGCGUUAUCCGGAUUUAUUGGGUUUAAAGGGAGCGUAGAUGGGUUGUUAAGUCAGUUGUGAAAGUUUGCGGCUCAACCGUAAAAUUGCAAGUGAUACUGGCAGUCUUGAGUACAGUUGAGGUAGGCGGAAUUCGUGGUGUAGCGGUGAAAUGCUUAGAUAUCACGAAGAACUCCGAUUGCGAAGGCAGCUAACUGGACUGCAACUGACACUGAGGCUCGAAAGUGUGGGUAUCAAACAGGAUUAGAUACCCCUGUAGUC
rnacentral:rRNA from 1 species